rnacentral:rRNA from 1 species
UACGUAGGGUCCGAGCGUUGUCCGGAAUUACUGGGCGUAAAGAGCUCGUAGGCGGUUCGUCGCGUCGGCUGUGAAAACCUGAGGCUCAACCUCAGGCCUGCAGUCGAUACGGGCGGACUUGAGUACUGCAGGGGAGACUGGAAUUCCUGGUGUAGCGGUGAAAUGCGCAGAUAUCAGGAGGAACACCGGUGGCGAAGGCGGGUCUCUGGGCAGUAACUGACGCUGAGGAGCGAAAGCGUGGGGAGCGAACAGG